AUUGAACGCUGGCGGCAGGCCUAACACAUGCAAGUCGAGCGGAUGAAGGGAGCUUGCUCCUGGAUUCAGCGGCGGACGGGUGAGUAAUGCCUAGGAAUCUGCCUGGUAGUGGGGGAUAACGUCCGGAAACGGGCGCUAAUACCGCAUACGUCCUGAGGGAGAAAGUGGGGGAUCUUCGGACCUCACGCUAUCAGAUGAGCCUAGGUCGGAUUAGCUAGUUGGUGGGGUAAAGGCCUACCAAGGCGACGAUCCGUAACUGGUCUGAGAUGAUGAUCAGUCACACUGGAACUGAGACACGGUCCAGACUCCUACGGGAGGCAGCAGUGGGGAAUAUUGGACAAUGGGCGAAAGCCUGAUCCAGCCAUGCCGCGUGUGUGAAGAAGGUCUUCGGAUUGUAAAGCACUUUAAGUUGGGGGGAAGGGCAGUAAGUUAAUACCUUGCUGUUUUGACGUUACCAACAGAAUAAGCACCGGCUAACUUCGUG
rnacentral:rRNA from 1 species